rnacentral:rRNA from 1 species
UCUCUUCGCAGUUAGUGCCGGACGGGUGAGUAACGCGAUGAGAACAUGCCUUUAGAUUGGGGACAACAGUUGGAAACGUCUGCUAAUACCGAAUGUGCCUUAGGGUGAAAGAUUUAUUGUCUAGAGAUUGGCUCGCGUCAGAUUAGCUAGUUGGAGUGGUAACGGCACACCAAGGCGACGAUCUGUACUUGGUCUGAGAGGAUGACCAGGCACACUGGAACUGAGACACGGUCCAGACUCCUACGGGAGGCAGCAGUGGGGAAUUUUCCGCAAUGGGCGAAAGCCUGACGGAGCAAUACCGCGUGAGGGAGGACGGCUUUUGGGUUGUAAACCUCUUUUAUCAGGGAAGAAUCGAUGACGGUACCUGAUGAAUCAGCAUCGGCUAACUCCGUGCCAGCAGCCGCGGUAAUACGGAGGAUGCAAGCGUUAUCCGGAAUUAUUGGGCGUAAAGCGUCCGUAGGUGGUUUAUCAAGUCUGCUGUCAAAGCGUGCGGCUUAACCGCAUAAGGGCAGUGGAAACUGAUGAACUAGAGUGCGAUAGGGGUAACAGGAAUUCCCAGUGUAGCGGUGAAAUGCGUAGAUAUUGGGAAGAACACCAGCGGCGAAAGCGUGUUACUGGGUCUGCACUGACACUGAGGGACGAAAGCUAGGGGAGCGAAAGGGAUUAGAUACCCCUGUAGUCCUAGCCGUAAACGAUGACAACUAGGCGUGGUUCGUAUCGACCCGAGCCGUGCCGUAGCCAACGCGUUAAGUUGUCCGCCUGGGGAGUACGCACGCAAGUGUGAAACUCAAAGGAAUUGACGGGGGCCCGCACAAGCGGUGGAGUAUGUGGUUUAAUUCGAUGCAACGCGAAGAACCUUACCAAGGCUUGACAUCCUCGGAACCCUGAUGAAAGUUAGGGGUGCCUUCGGGAGCCGAGAGACAGGUGGUGCAUGGCUGUCGUCAGCUCGUGUCGUGAGAUGUUGGGUUAAGUCCCGCAACGAGCGCAACCCACGUUUUUAGUUGCCAGCAUUCAGUUGGGCACUCUAGAGAGACUGCCGGUGACAAACCGGAGGAAGGUGUGGAUGACGUCAAGUCAGCAUGCCCCAUACGCCUUGGGCUACACACGUACUACAAUGCGUCGGACAAAGAGCAGCCAGCCAGCGAUGGUGAGCCAAUCUCAUAAACCGGCGCUCAGUUCAGAUUGCAGGCUGCAACUCGCCUGCAUGAAGGCGGAAUCGCUAGUAAUCGCAGGUCAGCAUACUGCGGUAAAUACGUUCCCGGGCCUUGUACACACCGCCCGUCACACCAUGGGAGUUGGUCACGCCCGAA